GUGCUCACUUCAGCAGCACAUAUAUUAAAAUUGGAACGAUACAGAGAAGAUUAGCAUGGCCCCUGCACAGGAUGACAGACAAAUUCGUGAAGCGUUCCAUAUAUUA
rnacentral:snRNA from 1 species